UACGGGGGGGGCAAGCGUUGUUCGGAAUUACUGGGCGUAAAGGGCUCGUAGGCGGCCAACUAAGUCAGACGUGAAAUCCCUCGGCUUAACCGGGGAACUGCGUCUGAUACUGGAUGGCUUGAGGUUGGGAGAGGGAUGCGGAAUUCCAGGUGUAGCGGUGAAAUGCGUAGAUAUCUGGAGGAACACCGGUGGCGAAGGCGCUGCUCUGGGCCGGUACUGACGCUGAGGAGCGAAAGCGUGGGUAGCAAACAGG
rnacentral:rRNA from 1 species